GAUGAACGCUGGCGGCGUGCCUAAUACAUGCAAGUCGAGCGAACAGAUGAGGAGCUUGCUCCUCUGACGUUAGCGGCGGACGGGUGAGUAACACGUGGAUAACCUACCUAUAAGACUGGGAUAACUUCGGGAAACCGGAGCUAAUACCGGAUAAUAUAUUGAACCGCAUGGCUCAAUAGUGAAAGACGGUUUUGCUGUCACUUAUAGAUGGAUCCGCGCCGCAUUAGCUAGUUGGUAAGGUAACGGCUUACCAAGGCAACGAUGCGUAGCCGACCUGAGAGGGUGAUCGGCCACACUGGAACUGAGACACGGUCCAGACUCCUACGGGAGGCAGCAGUAGGGAAUCUUCCGCAAUGGGCGAAAGCCUGACGGAGCAACGCCGCGUGAGUGAUGAAGGUCUUCGGAUCGUAAAACUCUGUUAUUAGGGAAGAACAAAUGCGUAAGUAACUAUGCACGUCUUGACGGUACCUAAUCAGAAAGCCACGGCUAACUACGUG
rnacentral:rRNA from 1 species